rnacentral:lncRNA from 1 species
AAACAAACCCAAUUCCUGGUGUCCCCUAGUCUUGGCGGAGGAGCCUUUUAGAUGAGCCCCGAAAGGCCGGGCAGCUCUUUGGGGCUACCAAACAGAAGCAGCAAUGCCUGUUGUGUGGCCAACCCUUCUGGAUCUCAGCAGGGAUGAAUGCAAAAGAAUUCUUCGAAAAUUGGGCAUAUGCUGGAGUUAUCAGUGCACUUCGGGCACAGGGGGAUCUCACCAAGGAAAAGAAAGAUCUUCUUGGAGAACUAUCAAAACAUCUCAACAGAACGCCACCGUGCUGAAGUUCGGAGAGCAGUAAACGAUGAACGGUUAACAACAAUUGCACAUAAGUAAGCCAUUAGUCGUACCAUCCCUGAUUUUUUAUGACAUAGUAUAACACAGUUUUGAAACAGUCUUCCUAUUGUGUAGCAGAUUCCUGAGUCUUUUAAGUAACAAUAUCUCUAUACUCAGGGAUCCUGAUCAUAGCAGUAAAAGUGAUAUUAACUGUUUAUUCAGUUGGGUUUUUUUUUGCAUUUGGUUAGGCAAGCUUUAAGUACUCAGGUCAAAUCCUGUUACAAUGUAAUCUCUGUCUAACUAAAAAUCACCACAAUUUAGCAGAUGAUUCACUUACUUGAGGCCAAGUUCAGUAACAAAGUAUUGUGACCCCUAAAAUUGAAAGCCCUUUAGAGGUUCUUUGUAAUGGUAUUUGAUAUGUUAUUACCUUAUAAAUAGGCGUUGUAACUUUUUUGAUAUCUGACUCAUUAUUUCAUGUAUUUUGAGAUUCAGAAAAAAAUGUAAAAUUUGUGUUCUGUCUUUAAGAAAUAUGAAUAUAACAUCUCUUAAUUUAUUUUUAAAAAGCCAAAAAAAUAAAACGAUUAAAGAUUCUUAC